CCUUUUUUAUUCUCUUAUAGUUUUUUUGCUGUGGAAAAAACUCAACAUUUAGUCACUACAACAGUGUGGAGAAUGAAACAUGCUUUGCAGAAGGUACUCAUCUAAAGGAUUGUCUUCAGGCAGUGGAGAAUCGGAUCACUAGCCUUAUGGUUAUCAUUGAAGUACUGACGCUAUUGAUGGGAACUGUGACGGUUUAUGGAAUGAUUCUGACUGCUUUCUUCUGCUUUGCUGGUUACUUUACUGAGGAUUGGCACACGAAAGGCAGGUACCAGGUGGCAAAGCAGUAGUGAGCACCAAGCUGAAAUCAGAAACUAGGCAUCGGUCAGCCAGGAUGAGACACCUGUGAAGUGAGGGUUUUCCAGAUAUUGUGAAAGAUGUCACUUCUCAGGGCUCUGAGUCUCUACACUGAACAUUCUUACUUUUUUAUUCUGAAAGAAGGCAAAUUAAUGCAUAUCUAUUUCACACCAAUCUGUUGUGUGCUCAGGUCAAUCCCCUCCUCACUGCAUUGCACCUAAAGAUUCUGCUUCUGAAGAGUCCUGAGCUUUGUUGUUGUAACAGGGAAUUGUGAUAUUGUGACCUACUACCAUGUGAUUUCUCUUAAAGUACAAAUUUUGAAACAGCAAAUAGUGUUAAAAAUUAACAGUAGGAACCUCAGCAAUUCUUACUGAGAUUGGCAGCUGGGAUGAGGGAACAUAUGGACAUAAGAACAGAAGUAGGCCAUUCAGCCCCUUGAAUUUGACUAUACGAUGAGAUCUGCUAUUCAAUUAAAUCACUGCUGAUUUAUUUCUCAACUCCAUCUACUUAUUUUGCCUCUGUAUCCAUUUGUUUUAUUGAUGGAUUUUAGCCAGGCAAUCUCAGAAUUAAUUAUUAAUAAAGCUAAAAUCAACUACUUUUUACGGCAGAGUCUUUCACAUUUCUGUCUCCCUUUAUGGGAAGAAAUAUAUCUUAACUUUUCUCAUGAAUGGUCUUGCUCCAACUUUAAUGUUUUGUUCCCUUGUCCUAGACUGUUCCACCAUUGAAAGAUGUAGAAGGCUGAUCAAUGUCAAGAUUGGUCCUCUUCAUGAUAGCUUGUAUGGGAGGGUGGGAAGAACAAGCAUCUAGGCUGAAGAAGAGGUGGGGUAGAAGCUGGAAAGGGGAAUUAUAUUAAUGAUCAGAAAGAGCAGCUAGGUUGUUGGAUAGAUAUUAGGAGCUGAAAAAGAAACUUGUUUUUUUUAAAUUCUUACAAAAAGUUAAGCUGGAACAGCAAGUAAACAGCCCCAUUAUCAUUGCUAUGGAAUAGAAUUUGGUAGUAAUGUUCAACUAACCUCUUUGAAGAGAAGCCUGUGUGUAUUAGUUGCAGCCUGCUCUGUGAUACUUUUAUGUUAUUCAACGACUAUCACUUCCUCUUCUUUCAAUACAUAGUGGGCACCAUAAUUUUGGUGUCUGAACAAAGCAUUUUCAUUACCAUGUAUCUUUACUAUUAGUCCAUAUCUCUCAGGCCGCCCAUUGACUCAUUAUAAUGGCUUUUCAGUCUUAUUCCCAUUCCACUGCAUCUCACUGAGGCUAUAUGCUUCCCUUGCAUGUCGCUAACAUUCUCACUAAGCUGGAAUGUUUCGUUCUGCCUUUAAUUGAAGGGAGUUCUCAUAUUGUUGUCAUAAAGAGUUAAGUUCGGCUUGUUUGGAAAUUAAAAUGUUUUACUGUUUGGUACUCAUUGUGUGACUCACACACAGGCAGUGAGAUGACAUGAUUGACAGAUGAAUAGCACUAAUGUUUAAUAAACAAUAUAACUUCUGUACGAUGCAGCCUCCACUGAUGAAAGGAUGAAUUAUACGAUGUUCUUAGCUCCUUCAGAUGGACUUUACUGAAGUGAGAGUCUGUUUGUUACAUUUAAACACAGUACUAAGACCUCCUCCUCUGACUCAAUAAGCUAUUGCCAGCAAUGAUCCACCUGCAUGGUAUUAAGCAAGGGAUGCCAAACAUGUGCCAGGAUUAAUCCAUUAAAUGCUAGAUUGGAACAAUUGAUGUGAUGCUUCAUUUAGCCCCAGGUUGAUGAGAAAAAGUUACUGCCCACUCAAAAUCAUUAUUCAUUACUGGAUUAUGCAUGUGCAGACCUCAGAAACAAAGAAAAUAGGAACAGGAGUAGACCAUUCAACCCUCAAGCCAACUUCACAAUUCAAUAUGAUCGUGAC